rnacentral:rRNA from 1 species
UGAGGAAUAUUGGUCAAUGGACGAGAGUCUGAACCAGCCAAGUAGCGUGCAGGAUGACGGCCCUAUGGGUUGUAAACUGCUUUUGUUUGGGAAUAAUCGACAUUACGUGUAAUGUUUUGCAUGUACCAUUCGAAUAAGGACCGGCUAAUUCCGUGCCAGCAGCCGCGGUAAUACGGAAGGUCCAGGCGUUAUCCGGAUUUAUUGGGUUUAAAGGGAGUGUAGGCGGUUGGUUAAGCGUGUUGUGAAAUGUAGAUGCUCAACAUCUGACUUGCAGCGCGAACUGGCUAACUUGAGAACACACAACGUAGGCGGAAUUCAUGGUGUAGCGGUGAAAUGCUUAGAUAUCAUGAAGAACUCCGAUUGCGAAGGCAGCUUACGGGAGUGUUACUGACGCUUAAGCUCGAAGGUGCGGGUAUCGAACAGG